AUUGAACGCUGGCGGCAUGCUUUACACAUGCAAGUCGAACGGCAGCGCGGGCUUCGGCCUGGCGGCGAGUGGCGAACGGGUGAGUAAUGCAUCGGAACGUGCCCAGUAGUGGGGGAUAGCCCGGCGAAAGCCGGAUUAAUACCGCAUACGACCUGAGGGUGAAAGCGGGGGACCGAAAGGCCUCGCGCGAUUGGAGCGGCCGAUGUCGGAUUAGCUAGUUGGUGGGGUAAAGGCUUACCAAGGCGACGAUCCGUAGCUGGUCUGAGAGGACGACCAGCCACACUGGGACUGAGACACGGCCCAGACUCCUACGGGAGGCAGCAGUGGGGAAUUUUGGACAAUGGGGGCAAGCCUGAUCCAGCCAUGCCGCGUGCGGGAAGAAGGCCUUCGGGUUGUAAACCGCUUUUGUUCGGGAAGAAAUACUCUGGGCUAAUACCCCGGGGGGAUGACGGUACCGGAAGAAUAAGCAACGGCUAACUACGUG
rnacentral:rRNA from 1 species